GUGAGGAAUAUUGGUCAAUGGGCGGAAGCCUGAACCAGCCAUCCCGCGUGAAGGAAGGCGGCCCUAUGGGUUGUAAACUUCUUUAGUACAUGAAGAACAGGAUCUACGCGUAGGUUUAUGACGGUAAUGUACAAAAAAGCAUCGGCUAACUCCGUGCCAGCAGCCGCGGUAAUACGGAGGAUGCGAGCGUUAUCCGGAUUCAUUGGGUUUAAAGGGUACGUAGGUGGCCCUGUAAGUCAGUGGUGAAAAUCUGCCGCUUAACGGUAGGGGUGCCAAUGAUACUGCGGGGCUUGAGUACAGUUGAGGUAGGUGGAAUGUGUAGUGUAGCGGUGAAAUGCAUAGAUAUUACACAGAACUCCGAUUGCGAAGGCAUCUUACUAAGCUGAAACUGACACUGAUGUACGAAAGCGUGGGGAUCGAACAGGAUUAGAUACCCGGGUAGUCC
rnacentral:rRNA from 1 species